rnacentral:sRNA from 1 species
GCAGUAUCUCGUUUGGCGAGGCUCCUAUACAAACACAGGUUACUGAUCUGACGACAUCGAGAGAUGCCCAAGGUUAAGACAGGCUUUAUCGGAUUAAGGUUCAGCCCAAGGUAACUUCUGAACUGUUCUUCAGAUACAUUGUUCAGAUACGUUGUAUAGUGCUAAAACCUGGACGCGGAGAUAGGCU